ensembl:lncRNA
UUCCCUCCUUCCUGUACUGUUACGACUCCAUGAGCUCUUCCCUCCUUCCUGUACUGUUACGACUCCAUGAGCUCUUCCCUCCUUCCUGUACUGUUACGACUCCAUGAGCUCUUCCCUCCUUCCUGUACUGUUACGACUCCAUGAGCUCUUCCCUCCUUCCUGUACUGUUACGACUCCAUGAGCUCUUCCUCCUUCCAGAAACGGCUGUAGACCAACGAGGAAGACCCACAUGGAACUGGACUUUUUGGGGGUGAAUCUCCCGUUGACUUCAAAGCUUGACUUGUUAUGCUAAAGUCCAAGAGAGAAAUUAGUCCGGGAAGACUCCCCCAGUCAGUCAGGUAGGAGGAGUCUAUCCAUUACAUCAGUCAGGUAGGAGGAGUCUAUCCAUUACAUCAGUCAAGUAGGAGGAGUCUAUCCAUUACAUCAGUGCAGGAAGACUCCCCCCAGUCAGUCAGGUAGGAGGAGUCUAUCCAUUACAUCAGUCAGGUAGGAGGAGUCUAUCCAUUAAAUCAGUCAGGUAGGAGGAGUCUAUCCAUUACAUCAGUCAUGUAGGAGGAGUCUAUCCAUUACAUCAGUCCAGGAAGACUCCCCCAGUCAGUCAGGUGGGAGGAGUCUAUCCAUUACAUCAGUCAUGUAGGAGGAGUCUAUCCAUUACAUCAGUCCAGGAAGACUCCCCCAGUCAGUCAGGUAGGAGGAGUCUAUCCAUUACAUCAGUCCAGGAAGACUCCCCCAUCAGUCAGUCAGGUAGGAGGAGUCUAUCCAUUACAUCAGUCCAGGAAGACUCCCCCCAGUCAGUCAGGUAGGAGGAGUCUAUCCAUUACAUCAGUCCAGGAAGACUCCCCGAGUCAGUCAGGUAGGAGGAGGGCGUAGUGGUGAAACCCCAUCAAAGCCAGUUCAGCACAGCAGCAAUGGAGGACAGUGGUGAGUAUGUAUGAGACAGUAUGGAUGCACAUGUGUGUUCCUUACAAUACGUUCUUGUGUCUCUGUAUACUGUUGAUGGAUAAAGUUCUCCACAUCCUGCUGUGUGUGUGUGUGUGUGUGUGUGUGUGUGUGU